rnacentral:rRNA from 1 species
GACGAACGCUGGCGGCGUGCUUAACACAUGCAAGUCGAACGGAAAGGCCCUGCUUUUGUGGGGUGCUCGAGUGGCGAACGGGUGAGUAACACGUGAGUAACCUGCCCUUGACUUUGGGAUAACUUCAGGAAACUGGGGCUAAUACCGGAUAGGAGCUCCUGCUGCAUGGUGGGGGUUGGAAAGUUUCGGCGGUUGGGGAUGGACUCGCGGCUUAUCAGCUUGUUGGUGGGGUAGUGGCUUACCAAGGCUUUGACGGGUAGCCGGCCUGAGAGGGUGACCGGCCACAUUGGGACUGAGAUACGGCCCAGACUCCUACGGGAGGCAGCAGUGGGGAAUAUUGCACAAUGGGCGGAAGCCUGAUGCAGCAACGCCGCGUGCGGGAUGACGGCCUUCGGGUUGUAAACCGCUUUCGCCUGGGACGAAGCGUGAGUGACGGUAAUGGGUAAAGAAGCACCGGCUAACUACGUG